UACGUAGGGUGCAAGCGUUUGUCCGGAAUUAUUGGGCGUAAAGAGCUCGUAGGCGGUCUGUCGCGUCUGCUGUGAAAACCUAGGGCUUAACUCUGGGCGUGCAGUGGGUACGGGCAGGCUAGAGUGCGGUAGGGGAGACUGGAAUUCCUGGUGUAGCGGUGAAAUGCGCAGAUAUCAGGAGGAACACCGGUGGCGAAGGCGGGUCUCUGGGCCGUAACUGACGCUGAGGAGCGAAAGCAUGGGGAGCGAACAGG
rnacentral:rRNA from 1 species